GAGUCGAGUGUCUCAAGCCAUGUUAGGGAAUCCAAUUUAGGAAAAAUUUGUUGUCUGAAAUUCACAAAUGAGCAUCCCAGUUUUCGAAGAUUUGGUGCUUUUUGCAAUAGCAGUUCCACAUCCUUUGAAAAUGAAAAACAUGGGGCCAAAAGAAUUUCCAACUUCUCAAAUCUCAAGUAGCCCUUCCCCACCAUUUAAAGUUGGUUGGUGGUGUUAAUGGUGGUGGUGGUGAGGUGCGAAAAACCCAACUGUUAUUUUAAUAUAUGCAAAUAGUCUCCCGUGGUCUAUUUUGGCCGUUUUCGGUGAAUUUCACUGAAAAUGGGAAUGCAGGGGACUGAUCGG
rnacentral:lncRNA from 1 species